UUAAGUUAUUAAGGGCGCACGGUGGAUGCCUUGGCACUAGAAGCCGAUGAAGGACGUUACUAACGACGAUAUGCUUUGGGGAGCUGUAAGUAAGCUUUGAUCCAGAGAUUUCCGAAUGGGGAAACCCAGCAUGAGUUAUGUCAUGUUAUCGAUAUGUGAAUACAUAGCAUAUCAGAAGGCACACCCGGAGAACUGAAACAUCUUAGUACCCGGAGGAAGAGAAAGAAAAUUCGAUUCCCUUAGUAGCGGCGAGCGAAACGGGAAGAGCCCAAACCAACAAGCUUGCUUGUUGGGGUUGUAGGACACUCUAUACGGAGUUACAAAGGACGACAUUAGACGAAUCAUCUGGAAAGAUGAAUCAAAGAAGGUAAUAAUCCUGUAGUCGAAAAUGUUGUCUCUCUUGAGUGGAUCCUGAGUACGACGGAGCACGUGAAAUUCCGUCGGAAUCUGGGAGGACCAUCUCCUAAGGCUAAAUACUCUCUAGUGACCGAUAGUGAACCAGUACCGUGAGGGAAAGGUGAAAAGCACCCCGGAAGGGGAGUGAAAUAGAACCUGAAACCGUGUGCUUACAAGUAGUCAGAGCCCGUUAAUGGGUGAUGGCGUGCCUUUUGUAGAAUGAACCGGCGAGUUACGAUUUGAUGCAAGGUUAAGCAGUAAAUGUGGAGCCGUAGCGAAAGCGAGUCUGAAUAGGGCGUUUAGUAUUUGGUCGUAGACCCGAAACCAGGUGAUCUACCCUUGGUCAGGUUGAAGUUCAGGUAACACUGAAUGGAGGACCGAACCGACUUACGUUGAAAAGUGAGCGGAUGAACUGAGGGUAGCGGAGAAAUUCCAAUCGAACCUGGAGAUAGCUGGUUCUCUCCGAAAUAGCUUUAGGGCUAGCCUCAAGUGAUGAUUAUUGGAGGUAGAGCACUGUUUGGACGAGGGGCCCCUCUCGGGUUACCGAAUUCAGACAAACUCCGAAUGCCAAUUAAUUUAACUUGGGAGUCAGAACAUGGGUGAUAAGGUCCGUGUUCGAAAGGGAAACAGCCCAGACCACCAGCUAAGGUCCCAAAAUAUAUGUUAAGUGGAAAAGGAUGUGGCGUUGCCCAGACAACUAGGAUGUUGGCUUAGAAGCAGCCAUCAUUUAAAGAGUGCGUAAUAGCUCACUAGUCGAGUGACACUGCGCCGAAAAUGUACCGGGGCUAAACAUAUUACCGAAGCUGUGGAUUGUCCUUUGGACAAUGGUAGGAGAGCGUUCUAAGGGCGUUGAAGCAUGAUCGUAAGGACAUGUGGAGCGCUUAGAAGUGAGAAUGCCGGUGUGAGUAGCGAAAGACGGGUGAGAAUCCCGUCCACCGAUUGACUAAGGUUUCCAGAGGAAGGCUCGUCCGCUCUGGGUUAGUCGGGUCCUAAGCUGAGGCCGACAGGCGUAGGCGAUGGAUAACAGGUUGAUAUUCCUGUACCACCUAUAAUCGUUUUAAUCGAUGGGGGGACGCAGUAGGAUAGGCGAAGCGUGCGAUUGGAUUGCACGUCUAAGCAGUAAGGCUGAGUAUUAGGCAAAUCCGGUACUCAUUAAGGCUGAGCUGUGAUGGGGAGAAGACAUUGUGUCUUCGAGUCGUUGAUUUCACACUGCCGAGAAAAGCCUCUAGAUAGAAAAUAGGUGCCCGUACCGCAAACCGACACAGGUAGUCAAGAUGAGAAUUCUAAGGUGAGCGAGCGAACUCUCGUUAAGGAACUCGGCAAAAUGACCCCGUAACUUCGGGAGAAGGGGUGCUCUUUAGGGUUAACGCCCAGAAGAGCCGCAGUGAAUAGGCCCAAGCGACUGUUUAUCAAAAACACAGGUCUCUGCUAAACCGUAAGGUGAUGUAUAGGGGCUGACGCCUGCCCGGUGCUGGAAGGUUAAGAGGAGUGGUUAGCUUCUGCGAAGCUACGAAUCGAAGCCCCAGUAAACGGCGGCCGUAACUAUAACGGUCCUAAGGUAGCGAAAUUCCUUGUCGGGUAAGUUCCGACCCGCACGAAAGGCGUAACGAUUUGGGCACUGUCUCAACGAGAGACUCGGUGAAAUCAUAGUACCUGUGAAGAUGCAGGUUACCCGCGACAGGACGGAAAGACCCCGUGGAGCUUUACUGUAGCCUGAUAUUGAAAUUCGGCACAGCUUGUACAGGAUAGGUAGGAGCCUUUGAAACGUGAGCGCUAGCUUACGUGGAGGCGCUGGUGGGAUACUACCCUAGCUGUGUUGGCUUUCUAACCCGCACCACUUAUCGUGGUUGGAGACAGUGUCAGGCGGGCAGUUUGACUGGGGCGGUCGCCUCCUAAAAGGUAACGGAGGCGCUCAAAGGUUCCCUCAGAAUGGUUGGAAAUCAUUCAUAGAGUGUAAAGGCAUAAGGGAGCUUGACUGCGAGACCUACAAGUCGAGCAGGGUCGAAAGACGGACUUAGUGAUCCGGUGGUUCCGCAUGGAAGGGCCAUCGCUCAACGGAUAAAAGCUACCCCGGGGAUAACAGGCUUAUCUCCCCCAAGAGUUCACAUCGACGGGGAGGUUUGGCACCUCGAUGUCGGCUCAUCGCAUCCUGGGGCUGUAGUCGGUCCCAAGGGUUGGGCUGUUCGCCCAUUAAAGCGGUACGCGAGCUGGGUUCAGAACGUCGUGAGACAGUUCGGUCCCUAUCCGUCGUGGGCGUAGGAAAUUUGAGAGGAGCUGUCCUUAGUACGAGAGGACCGGGAUGGACAUACCUCUGGUGUACCAGUUGUCGUGCCAACGGCAUAGCUGGGUAGCUAUGUGUGGACGGGAUAAGUGCUGAAAGCAUCUAAGCAUGAAGCCCCCCUCAAGAUGAGAUUUCCCAACUUCGGUUAUAAGAUCCCUCAAAGAUGAUGAGGUUAAUAGGUUCGAGGUGGAAGCAUGGUGACAUGUGGAGCUGACGAAUACUAAUCGAUCGAAGACUUAAUCAA
rnacentral:rRNA from 1 species